CCGCCGGCCUCGCCCGGCGCAGCCCGGGCCGCUGGGCGCACCCGUCCCGUGCGUCCCCGGACGUUGCUCUCCGCCCCGGGAACGUCGAGACUGGAGCGCCCGAGUCGGGCCACCUUCGCCGACCCGGAGCGCGGC
rnacentral:miRNA from 1 species